UAAAACCAGCACCUCAAGUGGUCAGGAUGAUUAUUGGGCCUAAAGCAUCCGUAGCCGGCUCUGUAAGUUUUCGGUUAAAUCUGUACGCUCAACGUACAGGCUGCUGGGAAUACUGCAGAGCUAGGGAGUGGGAGAGGUAGACGGUACUCGGGAGGAAGUGGUAAAAUGCUUUGAUCUCUCGAUGACCACCUGUGGCGAAGGCGGUCUACCAGAACACGUCCGACGGUGAGGGAUGAAAGCUGGGGGAGCAAACCGGAUUAGAUACCCGGGUAGUCCCAGCUGUAAACUAUGCAAACUCAGUGGUGCGUUGGCUUAUGGCCAGCGCAGUGUUGCAGGGAAGCCGUUAAGUUUGCCGCCUGGGAAGUACGUACGCAAGUAUG
rnacentral:rRNA from 2 species